GGGGAUAGAGCUCAGUUAGUAGAGUGCUUGCCUUGCAUGCACAUGCAUAAGGCCCUGGGUUCAAUCCCCAGCACCA
rnacentral:tRNA from 1 species